rnacentral:ncRNA from 1 species
AAUAAAAUAAAAUUUCAAAAUAUGUUAAAUUAGCAUUAAGAUAUACAAAUAAUAUUAUCUUGAAAAAAUUAUAAUAUAUUCAAUAUAUUUAAAAUUACUAAUAAAAUAAUAGACUAUCAUAAGUGCCAGCAGUCGCGGUUAAACUUAAUAUUAAAUCCUAUUAAAAUCAAUUGAAUAAUUUCUUUUUAUCUCAUAAUUAAUUCUAAAUAAAAUUUUAUUAAUUAAAAAUAUAAACUCUUAAAUCAAUCUUAAUUUUAAACAUAAAAUAGGAUUAGAAACCCUAGUAUAAUAAACUCUAUAAGGUAGUAAUACUUCAAUAAAACCUAUUUAUUCCGGCGGCUUUUCAUCUUAUUAGAGGAACUUGUCUAUUAAUCGAUAAUCCACGAUAAUUUUCACUUAUUUUUAAAACUUAUAUAUCGCCAUCAAGAAUUUAUUACCAAAUAUAUUCUUAAUAAAAAAUAAAAAGUUAGGUCAAGGUGUAGUCAACAUAUAAGUAAAGAUGAGUUACAUUAAACAUUAUUUAAGGACUCUUAAAUCAAAAUUUUCGAAAAAAAAGGAUUUAUAAGUAUUAUAAUAAUAAUAAUUUUAUAUGAAUAAGAUAACAAAAGUGCACAUAUCGCCCGUCACCCUUAUCCUAAGAUAAGGUAAGUCGUAACAUAGUUGAUGUUUUGGAAAAAGCAUCAAG